rnacentral:rRNA from 1 species
CAUGCAUGUCUAAGCAUGAGCCAAAUUAUGGUGAAGCCGCGAAUAGCUCAUUACAACAGCCAUUGUUUACUUGAUCUUGAUAUCCUACUUGGAUAACUGUGGUAAUUCUAGAGCUAAUACACGCAGCAAAGCUCAGACCUCGCGGGACGAGCGCAUUUAUUAGAACAAAACCAAUCGGGCCUCGGCUCGCCGUUGGUGACUCUGAAUAACUCAGCUGAUCGCAUGGUCUUGCACCGGCGACUCAUCUUUCAAGUGUCUGCCUUAUCAACUUUCGAUGGUAGAUUAUGUGUCUACCAUGGUUGUAACGGGUAACGGAGAAUAAGGGUUCGACUCCGGAGAGGGAGCCUGAGAAACGGCUACCACAUCCAAGGAAGGCAGCAGGCGCGUAAAUUACCCAAUCUCAGCACGAGGAGGUAGUGACGAAAAAUAACGAGACCGUUCUCUAUGAGGCCGGUUAUCGGAAUGGGUACAAUUUAAACCCUUUAACGAGGAUCUAUGAGAGGGCAAGUCUGGUGCCAGCAGCCGCGGUAAUUCCAGCUCUCAAGGUGUAUAUCGCCAUUGCUGCGGUUAAAAAGCUCGUAGUUGGAUCCAAAGCCCAGGACCGGGUCCACCCACUGGGUGAGAACUUGGCUCCGGGGCUAAUACUGCUGGUUUUCCCAUUGUGGCCUUAAAAAGUCGCUUUGGGUGGCUGGCGAGUUUACUUUGAAAAAAUUAGAGUGCUCAAAACAGGCGUCUCGCCUGCAUACUGGUGCAUGGAAUAAUGGAAAAGGACUUCGGUUCUAUUUUGUUGGUUUUCUGAACCGAGAUAAUGGUUAAGAGGGACAGACGGGGGCAUUCGUAUCGCUGCGUGAGAGGUGAAAUUCUUGGACCGCAGCGAGACGCCCUACUGCGAAAGCAU